rnacentral:rRNA from 1 species
AUUGAACGCUGGCGGCAUGCCUUACACAUGCAAGUCGAACGGUAACAGGUCUUUCGGGAUGCUGACGAGUGGUGAACGGGUGAGUAAUACAUCGGAACGUGCCUAGUAGUGGGGGAUAACUACUCGAAAGAGUGGCUAAUACCGCAUGAGAUCUAUGGAUGAAAGCAGGGGACCUUUGGGCCUUGUGCUACUAGAGCGGCCGAUGGCAGAUUAGGUAGUUGGUGGGAUAAAAGCUUACCAAGCCUACGAUCUGUAGCUGGUCUGAGAGGACGAUCAGCCACACUGGGACUGAGACACGGCCCAGACUCCUACGGGAGGCAGCAGUGGGGAAUUUUGGACAAUGGGCGCAAGCCUGAUCCAGCAAUGCCGCGUGCAGGAUGAAGGCCUUCGGGUUGUAAACUGCUUUUGUACGGAACGAAAAGUCUUGGGUUAAUACCCUGGGAUCAUGACGGUACCGUAAGAAUAAGCACCGGCUAACUACGUG